rnacentral:lncRNA from 1 species
UAACAAUAGUAUCCAGCUGCAGUCCCUCAGCAGCCUGUGACUAAGACCAGCUUGUCAAUAAAACUACUAUAUACUAGCCGUGGUUAAUCCCUACCACAUACAUGUGAACUCCUCCUUCUUCCUUUCCUUGGUCUUUCCUUGCUCCCUUUCCUUUCCUAAUUUCCUAAAUGUAUUUCCUCCUUUCCUAACUGAUUUUCCUUCCCUACCUUCAUUUCCUUCCCCUCCUUUCCUAGCUUUGUUUCCUAAUUUCCUAGAUUCCUUUCCUUCCCUACUUAUAUUUCCUCUCCUCCUUCUCUAUCUCCUUACCUUUCCUAGUUCCUUAUCUCCUUUCCCUAGGUCCCUUUUCCUAGGUCCCCUUUCCUAGAUUCCUUUCCUUGCUCCCUUUGCUUUCCUCCUUUCCUAGCUUAAUUUCCUCCUAUCCUUCCCUACUUCCAUGUCCUCGCCUCUCUCCUUAUCUCCCUUUCCUUUUCUAGCUCCUUUUCACAUUUCCUAGCUCCUUUGCUUUUUUUCCUUUCCUAGCUUGCUUUCCUUUCUUAGCUUCCUUUCCUCUUUUCCUAGCUUCCUUUUCCUCUCCUCCUUCCCUACCUUCCUUUUCUACUUUCCUAGCUUCCUUUCCUUUCUUACCUAGCUCCCCUUCCUGCUUCCUUUAAUUUCCUCCUUUUCUUUCUUAGAUGAAUUUCCUCCUUCCCUAGCUCCCUUUCUUUUCCGCCUUUCCUACAGUAGCUUCCUUUCCUCCUUUCCCAGGAUUAUCUCAGGCAGUAGAGAGGAAAGGGAGAUAGGAAAGGGAGCUAGGAAAAUAAUUGGGAUAAGGAAAGGGAGAUGAGGAAGCUAGGAAGGAAGACAAAAAAAGGGAAUGAGGAAAGGAAUCUAGGAAAGAAAGGAGUAAAGAAAAUAACUAGAAGCUAGAAUAGGAGUAAAUGAGCUAGGAAAAGAAAGAUAGAUAGGAAAGGAGGAAAGGAAGCUAGGAAAGGAGGAAAGGAAGCUAUGAAAGCAGGCAAAAAAUGUAGUGAGGAAAGGAAUAUAUGAAAGAAAAGGAGGAGUUCACAUGUAUAUGGUAGGGAUUAACCACUAGUAGAGAGGAAAUUAAGUUAGGAAAGGAAGUCCGGAAAGGAAAGAGCGGAGGAAUGUAGGAAAAGAAAAAGAGCUAGGAAAAGAGUAAAGGAAAGGGAGCAAGGAAAGGAAUCUAGUAAAAAAAGUAGGAGUUCACAUGUAAAGGUAACUGCCAAAAUAAAGGAAACACCAACAUAACAUGUCUUAAUAUGGUGUUGGGUCACCACGAGCCGCCAGAACAAGCUUCAGCCAGAACCUUGGCAUAGAUUCUACAACUGUCUGGAACUCUAUUGGAGGGAUGCGACACCAUACUUCCACAAGAAAUUCCAUAAUUUGGUGUUUUGUUGAUGGUGGUGGAGCGCCGCUCCAGAAUCUCCCAUAAAUGUUCAAUUGGGUUGAGAUCUGGUGACUGAGACACACACACACACACACACACACAGUUACCUGUAUGUGGUAGGGAUUAAAUACGGCCAGUAGAGAGGAAAAGAAUGCAAGAUGGAAAAUAAAUUACAAAAGGAAGAAAAUAAUCUAGGAAAUGAAAGGAGUUCACAUGUAUGUGGUAGGGAUUAACCGCGGCCAGUAGAUGGUGAUAGUAUUGGUUUUAGUGACAGGCUAGGUUUAUUCACAGGCUGCUGUGGGGCUGCAGCUGGAUGCAUCUCAAUAUUUUAUCUGACAGGUCACAAAUGGUACCUUGUUUCUGGUGCAUAUAUGUCAUGACACUCGUUUGCUACAGCACCUUGCUGCAACAACUGUCAAUUUUGUUUCAAAGUUUGAUCACCUCAUUGUAAAGAGUUACACAGUAGAAACGGCAAAUAUCGUCUCGUCUUCUUGAUCUGAAUUUCCCCGUCUUUAGUCAGCCGUUGUUGUUGAUGUAACAUAGAAACUAAAUCCGGGACACUCCAAUUAGUCUGAUAAGUUAGGUUUUGUAUGGCAGCCAAGUGGACACAAGGUUGUUUGGCUCAUCUCAGUUGCGAAGAGGAAGAACUUUGCAGCUGUUUCUGAUUAAUAAACAAUGCCAUGCUGGUGGGUGUUAACAAUGAAAUAAAACCCUGAAAUGAAAUGUAAACUAAAAAGAAUUUGUAUGACAUAUCAUAGAAAAAGACAACACAUUCACACAGAUUUGCACAGAGUGGGCCAUUCGGAUUUGGCUCUUCAAGCCCAAACACACUGAGUUUACAAAACAUUAGAAACACCCUCCUAAUAUUGAGUUGCAUCCCCUUUUGCCCUCAGAACAGCAUCAAUACGUUGGGGCAUGGACUCUACAAGGUGUCGAAAGCGUUCCAUAGGGGUGCUGACCCAUGUUGACUCCAAUGCUUCCCACAGUUGUGUCAAGGUCCCGUGUGGCUCAGUUGGCAGAGCAUGGUGUUUACAACGCUAGGGUUGUGGGUUUGAUUCCCACGGGGGACCAGUACGGUGGAAAAAAUGAUGAAAUGUAUGCACUCACUACUGUAAGUCGCUCUGAAUAAGAGCAUCUGCUAAAUUACUGAAAUGUAAGUUGGUGGACUUUGGGUGGUGGACUAUUCUUGAUACACACG